rnacentral:rRNA from 1 species
AUGGUUAAAGAUCUCUUGGCUAAUAAUAUUGAUGGGCAUGUUAUUUAUUUCUGUGAGGAAACCGCUAGAAUUGCUGAACCUGAUGCUAAAGAUAAACAUAGACCCGUUGUAGGCAUGCCUGUUAUUUCUGUUAAAAUAGGAGAUCAUUGUUAUCAUGGCUUAUGUGAUAUGGGUGCUAGUGCUAGUGCAAUACCUCAUUCUUUAUACGACGAAAUUAUGCAUGAUAUUGCGCCCGCUGAGUUAGAAGGCAUUGAUGUUACAAUUAAGCUUGCCAAUAGAGAUACUAUAUCACCGAUUGGGAUUGUUAGAGAUGUUGAAGUCUUGUGUGGGAAGGUUAAAUAUCCUGCUGAUUUUCUUGUUCUUGGUUCCCCACAAUAUAGCUUUUGUCCCAUUAUAUUUGGUAGACCCUUCUUGAACACUGUUAAUGCUAGGAUAGACUGCGAAAAGGAUGUUGUUACUAUUGGUUUAGGGGAUAUUACUCAUGAGUUUAAUUUUGCUAAAUUUCGUAGACAACCCCGUGAUGAGGAAUUGCCUAGUAAGGAUGAAAUUAUAGGUCUU